rnacentral:miRNA from 1 species
CACCCGUAGAUCCGACCUUGCG